UCCAGUAAGUGUGCUGUUAAUUCCAGCUGUUAGUAUCCAGUGAGUGCAGUGGUAAUUCCAUCUACUUAUAUCCAGUAAGUGCAGUGCUAGUCCCAGCUGGCUGUAUCCAGUGAGUGCAGUGUUAAUGCCAACAGUUUGUGAGUGCAGUGUUAAUCCCAGCAGUAUGUAUGCAGUGAGUGCAGUGUUAAUCCCAGCAAUCUAUGAGUGCAGUGUUAAUUCCAGCAGUAUGUAUGGAGUGAGUGCAGUGUUAAUCCCAGCAAUCUAUGAGUGCAGUGUUAAUUCCAGCAGUAUGUAUGCAGUGAGUGCAGUGUUAAUUCCAUCAGUCUAUGGGUGCAGUGUUAAUUCCAGCAGUCUAUGAGUGCAGUGUUAAUUCCAGC